UCGAGAAUCUUCGGCAAUGGACGCAAGUCUGACCGAGCGACGCCGCGUGCGGGAUGAAGGCCUUCGGGUUGUAAACCGCUGUCGGAGGGGAUGAAAUCGUGGUGGGUUCUCCCAUCUCGUUGACAUAUCCUCGAAGGAAGUACGGGCUAAGUUCGUGCCAGCAGCCGCGGUAAGACGAACCGUACGAACGUUAUUCGGAAUCACUGGGCUUAAAGGGUGCGUAGGCGGCGCGGAAAGUAGGGUGUGAAAUCCCUCGGCUCAACCGAGGAAUUGCGCCCUAAACUACCGUGCUCGAGGGAGAUAGAGGUGAGCGGAACUUAGGGUGGAGCGGUGAAAUGCGUUGAUAUCCUAAGGAACACCGGUGGCGAAAGCGGCUCACUGGAUCUCUUCUGACGCUGAGGCACGAAAGCUAGGGUAGCGAACGG
rnacentral:rRNA from 1 species